rnacentral:rRNA from 1 species
UGAGUAACACGUAUCCAACCUGCCGUCUACUCUUGACAGCCUUCUGAAAGGAAGAUUAAUCAGAUGGCAUCAUGAGUUCACAUGUCCGCAUGAUUAAAGGUAUUUUCCGGUAGACGAUGGGGAUGCGUUCCAUUAGAUAGUAGGCGGGGUAACGGCCCACCUAGUCUUCGAUGGAUAGGGGUUCUGAGAGGAAGGUCCCCCACAUUGGAACUGAGACACGGUCCAA